UAGACACGCUGAUAGGUACCCUCGUUACUGAGCGCGCAAGUAAACUCAGAUCAAGUGAAUACAUCACCUUGAAGAACACAGCGACACGUGGAACAGGAAGAGACAAAGUGGGCGACAUUCCUCCAUCUCCAGGUCCCCAAGGUCCAAGCCCGCUAGAUGGACGAGUGUUGGAAUGUGGAACAGGAAGAGACAAAGUGGUCGACUUUCCUCCAUCUUCAGGUCCGCAAGAUCCAAGCCCGCCAGGAGGAGUAGUGUCUUCAUGUGGAUAUGGAAGGGGCAAAAUUGAAGCUUAUUCCACAUUCAAAACCGACAAGUAACAAACCUUUCAAAUGACGAAGCUGAGUCAGCAGUUUUCCGAAGACUUCUUCAUCUCAACAAAAUAAAUGUCAGAACUUAACCUCAUAUGAGUCUUACUAUUAGCAGAUAUUAAGUUAAGGUGGUCUUCGGAUAAUGUGAAAGUCCUUGAAUCAGCUUGUCACCGUGUAUUUUGCUGAAAGCAUUAAUAAUAAUAAUAAUAAUAUAUAUAUAUAUUUUACUUUCGUUGUAUCAGAACACAGAUGCACAAAUUGGAGAAUUAAAACAGUAGCGUUACCAGUGA
rnacentral:misc_RNA from 1 species